ensembl:Mt_tRNA
GUUAAUGUAGCUUAAUACAAAGCAAAGCACUGAAAAUGCUUAGAUGGACCCUAAUAAGUCCCAUAAACA